CCUACGGGUGGCAGCAGUAGGGAAUAUUGGACAAUGGGCGAAAGCCUGAUCCAGCCAUGCCGCGUGAGUGAUGAAAGCCUUCGGGUUGUAAAGCUCUUUUGGCGGGGACGAUAAUGACGGUACCCGCAGAAUAAGCCCCGGCUAACUUCGUGCCAGCAGCCGCGGUAAUACGAAGGGGGCUAGCGUUGUUCGGAAUCACUGGGCGUAAAGCGCACGUAGGCGGACUUUCAAGUCAGGGGUGAAAUCCCGGGGCUCAACCUCGGAAUUGCCUUUGAUACUGUAAGUCUCGAGUCCGGAAGAGGUGGGUGGAAUUCCUAGUGUAGAGGUGAAAUUCGUAGAUAUUAGGAAGAACACCGGUGGCGAAGGCGGCCCACUGGUCCGGUACUGACGCUGAGGUGCGAAAGCGUGGGGAGCAAACAGGAUUAGAUACCCUUGUAGUC
rnacentral:misc_RNA from 1 species